AGUGAACGCUGGCGGUAGGCCUAACACAUGCAAGUCGAACGGCAGCACAGUAAGAGCUUGCUCUUACGGGUGGCGAGUGGCGGACGGGUGAGGAAUACAUCGGAAUCUACUUUUUCGUGGGGGAUAACGUAGGGAAACUUACGCUAAUACCGCAUACGACCUACGGGUGAAAGCAGGGGAUCUUCGGACCUUGCGCGAUUGAAUGAGCCGAUGUCGGAUUAGCUAGUUGGCGGAGUAAAGGCCCACCAAGGCGACGAUCCGUAGCUGGUCUGAGAGGAUGAUCAGCCACACUGGAACUGAGACACGGUCCAGACUCCUACGGGAGGCAGCAGUGGGGAAUAUUGGACAAUGGGCGCAAGCCUGAUCCAGCCAUACCGCGUGGGUGAAGAAGGCCUUCGGGUUGUAAAGCCCUUUUUGUUGGGAAAGAAAAGCAGCAGGUUAAUACCCCGCUGUUCUGACGGUACCCAAAGAAUAAGCACCGGCUAACUUCGUG
rnacentral:rRNA from 1 species